rnacentral:pre_miRNA from 1 species
ACAACAUUUAGACCGUCGGUCUACCGAGCAAAAUACCACCCGGUCGGUGGAAGAUCUACCCUCCGUCGU